ACUUCGUCCUCACUUACAAAACUUGUGGAAACCAUAAUAAGCUUGUGUAGGCUUCUUGGAGUCCAAUAUGACAAGAUUGGUGUGUAUGACUGAGUAUGAGAAAGAGAAAUGCAUCCCGGAUCCUGGUUGUUAAAGUACCGUAGAUGCAAAACAAAAAAAAACUCAAAGGGACUUCGUCCUCACUUACAAAACUAUUGAAAGCCAUAAUAACCUUGUGUAGGGUUCUUUGAGUCCAAUAUGACAAGAUUGGUGUGUAUGACUGAGUAUAAGAAAGAGAAAUGCAACCCGGAUCCUAGUUGUUAAAGUAGCGUAGAUGCAAAACAAAAAAACUCAUAGGGACUUCGUCCUCCCUUACCAAACUUGGGGAAGCCAUAAUAAGCUUGUGUAGGCUUGUUGGAGUCCAAUAUGACAAGAUUGGUGUGUUUGACUGGGUAUGAGAAAGAGAAAUGCAACCCGGAUCCUGGUUGUUAAAGUACCGUAGAUGCAAAACAAAAAAAACUCAUAGGGACUUCGUCCUCACUUACAAAACUUGUGGAAACCAUAAUAAGCUUGUGUAGGCUUCUUGGAGUCCAAUAUGACAAGAUUGGUGUGUAUGACUGAGUAUGAGAAAGAGAAAUGCAUCCCGGAUCCUGGUUGUUAAAGUACCGUAGAUGCAAAACAAAAAAAAACUCAUAGGGACUUCGUCCUCCCUUACCAAACUUGGGGAAGCCAUAAUAAGCUUAUGUAGGCUUGUUGGAGUCCAAUAUGACAAGAUUGGUGUGUAUGACUGAGUAUGAGAAAGAGAAAUGCAACCCGGAUCCUGGUUGUUAAAGUAGCGUAGAUGCAAAACAAAAAAACUCAUAGGGACUUCGUCCUCCCUUACAAAACUUGGGGAAGCCAUAAUAAGCUUGUGUAGGCUUCUUGGAGUCCAAUAUGACAAGAUUGGUGUGUAUGACUGAGUAUGAGAAAGAGAAAUGCAACCCGGAUCCUGGUUGCUAAAGUAGAGUAGAUGCAAAACAAAAAAAACUCAUAGGGACUUCGUCCUCACUUACAAAACUUGUGAAAGCCAUAAUAAGCUUGUGUAGGG
rnacentral:lncRNA from 1 species